rnacentral:rRNA from 1 species
AUUGAACGCUGGCGGCAGGCCUAACACAUGCAAGUCGAGCGGAUGAAGGGAGCUUGCUCCUGGAUUCAGCGGCGGACGGGUGAGUAAUGCCUAGGAGUCUGCCUGGUAGUGGGGGAUAACGUCCGGAAACGGGCGCUAAUACCGCAUACGUCCUGAGGGAGAAAGUGGGGGAUCUUCGGACCUCACGCUAUCAGAUGAGCCUAGGUCGGAGUAGCUAGUUGGUGGGGUAAAGGCCUACCAAGGCGACGAUCCGUAACUGGUCUGAGAGGAUGAUCAGUCACACUGGAACUGAGACACGGUCCAGACUCCUACGGGAGGCAGCAGUGGGGAAUAUUGGACAAUGGGCGAAAGCCUGAUCCAGCCAUGCCGCGUGUGUGAAGAAGGUCUUCGGAUUGUAAAGCACUUUAAGUUGGGAGGAAGGGCAGUAAGUUAAUACCUUGCUGUUUUGACGUUACCAACAGAAUAAGCACCGGCUAACUUCGUG